rnacentral:rRNA from 2 species
CCCAAAAGCGGAGGAAUAGAAACCAACAGGGAUUGCCUUAGUAACGGCGAGUGAAGCGGCAAGAGCUCAAAUUUGAAAUCUAGCACUUUCAGUGUUCGAGUUGUAAUUUGAAGAAGGUAUCUUUGGAGUUGGCCCCUGUCUAUGUUCCUUGGAACAGGACGUCACAGAGGGUGAGAAUCCCGUGCGAUGGGGAGACCAAUUCUUUGUAAAGUUCCUUCGAAGAGUCGAGUUGUUUGGGAAUGCAGCUCUAAGUGGGUGGUAAAUUCCAUCUAAAGCUAAAUAUUGGCGAGAGACCGAUAGCGAACAAGUACAGUGAUGGAAAGAUGAAAAGAACUUUGAAAAGAGAGUGAAAAAGUACGUGAAAUUGUUGAAAGGGAAGGGCUUUUGAUCAGACUUGGUGUUUAACGAUCUCUUCUCCUUGUGGGAGGGGCUCUUGUUUUAUACUGGGCCAGCAUCGGUUUGGAUGGCAGGAUAAUGACAUUGGAACGUGGCUUCAUUCGUGAAGUGUUAUAGCCUUUGUUGAUACUGCCUAUCUAGACCGAGGACUGCGUCUUGACUAGGAUGCUGCGUGUCCUGGCGUG